rnacentral:lncRNA from 1 species
UGCGUGUGUAAGGGGGCAGGGGGAGGGGGAGGGGAGGUGCGAGUGCGUGUGUGUGUAUGGCAAUGACAGCGUCUCCCGGGAUCCCCCUCCCCUCCUCAACCGAUACCUUCCUACACAGCCCACCCCACGGACACAAACAUACAUACACAUGUACAGAAGGCCCCCGGCUCAGCUCAUUAUAAAAGAGCGCACACGUGCACACACCGCUCCCUCCUCCGAUAAAGCAGUUAGCAGUUCGGUGUUUCUUGCUCUCACGCGGCGCCCUCCCCCAAUACAAAACAGGCCAAGAUUACGGACUUCGGGUUGCAUAAACGUGCCCGCUACAGCCGUACGGAAGAUGUGCUGAUUGCCGUAACCAACGAGUGGAGCACACGUGGCGGUAGCGUGUACCGUGGGAACGGCAUGUACGGCGGCGGUGCGCGAGGAGGAUACGGCGGGGGUUCCGUGAAGGCGGGGGGGACUGUGCGCGGCGGCAUCCGAGCAGAUUUCUCAACGAACGGCGGGGGCGUCAUCGAUGCAUCGUACUAUGGCGGUAACGCUUACAUCGGUAAGUGGACGGCCGGCGCCGACGGGGAAACUUUACCAUUGGUACGACGCGUGUACGGCACUUAUGCAGUGAGCAUAGGACAUGGAGGCAGUAUAGGCUCGUCGGCACGGGGGGCUGGGCAGCUGGUUUCCGAAUUCCUCCUCGUACAUUAGGUCGGUACACACGGUACGUGCUGGUGGGAUGCCGUACAUGUGCUGUGGGAUAGAGAGGACUGCAGCUUGGGGGUGCGAGUGGUGUUUGCAGUAGCCAGCAUGAAGCUACGCUGCCGGCAGCAGUGCCGUGGCGCUCAGCAGGUUGAGCAGCACCACCUCCCCUCCCCCUCGGGCGCUCUGUUUCCCUCCUCCCCCCCUCCCCUCUUCUUGUCGCUCCCCUCCUCCCCCGCCGUGUUCAUUUGUUAGCACCGCACCCCCAUCACAACUUCCAGCUCGCGUACAAGUGCAGGGGUAUACGAGAAGGACUCCUUAGGCAUAACUAUGUUGUCGUACAUGUAUACGUAGGGACAUACGUGCACACGGCCUAUUCCCCCGUCGCAGAUUCGUCUUCCCACUGGGACAAGUCGGCCGCCACCGCCGCCGCCGCGAUGGCUGGUGGCAGCAACGGUAACGGAAGUUACCGUCCCGGCGUGCAUGGUAACCGCAGCACCAGCGCCCGGUACGCCGCGCUGGCAACGGCGGGCCUGGCGGCCGCAACCGCUGAGGCGACAAACGCCGUAACCAUCGCUAUCGCCAACGAUCUCGGUGGCGGCGGCGGCGGCGGCGGCGGCGUGCCGGUGCUGCAUCGCGUCGGGCUGAACGACCUCGUGGUGGCGCCGACGGCAGCCGCCGACGGUGCCAUCAGUGGUGGCGGCUGCAACGACGGCACGUGCUGUUCCACUGAUGUGACAACGGUAACGGUAACGGCAGCAGGGCCGGCAGGGGGGGAUGUACUGGCGGACGAAGGCGGCAGCACCACCGGGCCCGCCAGCAGCCUGCCACCCGGGGACAGCCUCCGUGCGGCCUCGGAAGCAGCGGCGGAGCUGGGUAUCGCGCCUCAGGGCAAGGUCACGGAGCGGGAGCGGCCGUACCUGCUGGCGUACGACAAGCGGUACGACACGCUUCCCAAUGGCGGCAGCAAGUGGAGCAGCUCGACGGACUUGUUGGGGAUGAAUGACGCAGCCGUGGCGGCGGCGGCCGCGGCUGUAGCCGCCGCCGCUGCCGCCGCCGGUGCACCGCCCUCACCUCCGCUUCUGCUCCCUCCCAGCGGCGGCCCUUCCCAUCCCCGUCCGCCGUCGGCUCCCCAGAAUUAUCAACCAUUAGGUUGGACGCCGCCUAACGUUGUCCCACCCGCCAGCCUAGAGGAGAGCGUACACAGAAAGAUGCUGGCGCUGAUGGCGCUGGAGAGCGCAGCGGCGGCGGCGGCAAACCCCAUGGUGGCGGAGCCAGCGCCGGCGCCUGGCGGCGUUGCGCCAGAUGGCGGAGCCAUCCCCGCUGUUGCUGCUGUGGCAGGGCCGGCGGCGGGGCCGGAGUCAGCGCCGUUUUCUGUUACGGAGUUUGUCCGCGCCGCCGCCGCCGCCGCCGCCGCCGCGGCCACAUCCGCCGAGUCAACCGCAGGGUCGGCGCCGUCGGCCGUCAUGCUGAUGCGGUCCAUGUCACUUGCCCUGCAACAGCAACAGCAACAACAGCAGCAGGAGGCGCUUGCUAGCCCGGCUCCGCAGGCCUUGCAGCCGGCGCUCACAGCAAGUACGGCAGCAAGUACGAUUACCAUGCCGCCGCCGUUGGCUGCCGCCGCUGCCCGUGCCGCUGCGCGGGCUGCCUUCAUGAAAACGGUUCCUGAAGACAACCGGAUGAGUAUGGACGUGGGCAGCCUCGCCGCGGCGUUGCCUGCCGCAGCCGGCGGCGGUAGCGGCAACGAUGCCGCCGCCGCUGCCGCCGCUGCCGCCGCCGCCGCGGCGACAGCGACGGUGCACAGCCGCGCUUCCGCACCCGCGCCGGCCGCUUCCUCCGGCAAGCGCCAUGCGAACGCGGCGCAUCGUCAGGAGAAGGUUGCGUCCGUCGCCGCCCGGAUGGCAGACGCCACCCGCCAGGUACGUCGUCGUGGUGGCCGUGGCGGUGAAGUACUCCGAUCCGUCUGCAACCACACCUUUUGUGUGCUGCGCCGCACUUCGCUGAGCUGAGCAGCGUGUUGACUACGUUGCAGCUUGUAGAACUGGGUGUAGGGGUUUCGCUAGGUGUGAAAUCUAUGGUCCCACAAUCCUGUUUGUCGAUGUGGCAUCACCUGUUUUACAUGUGUGUGUAUUCCAUAGCCUGUGUGCGCACGUGUGCCCCCCCACAUGGCGGAGAAACACGUCCUCGGGGAUCCACCCCUCCCCUGUUGCCCCUUUCCCCCACCCACACCCCUCUCACCACCACCACCACCACCACCACUUCCCGGCGGCAGGUGGGCAGCCUCGUAUACAUGGCUCCAGAGCUGGUGCUGAGCGGGAAUUAUAACGAAAAGGUACGAUAGUACGACACUCAUCCUGUUGUGUUAUGCGUAUCUAUGCCCGUGGCGUCCUUAACAGCUACACGGCGAUAGCUGCAUCGGGGGGGGAUUGGCAACAUCGCCCCCCUCCGCCUUCAAAACCCUGUGCCGCGAUUCUUCGGCCCUUUUCCCCCCACCCCUGGACUGGCCCUUCGCGCCACGCUUCUUAUCACCCAUAUUACCCGGUCAACCCCGCACCACACCAUACAUACAUACAUACAUACAUACAUACAUACAUACAUACAUACAUACAUACAUACAUACAUACAUACAUACAUACAUACAUGCGCACGUACCUGAUCUCGCAGGUGGAUGUGUUUUCUUUCGCCAUCAUCGCCUACGAGCUGUUCACCGGGAAGCUGCUGGCCAUGAAGGUACGGCACAGGGGGGGGAGAGGGGCUGAGCCGCCCGCUAUAGUGACCCUGUGCGCCUAGCCCUAGGUACGGAUAUCUAAGAGGUGAUACCUCACACAUACCUUCACCGCCUCCGCACCCCGCCCCCGGGCCAAUGUUGCCUCAGCUGCCAAUCGCUUCCCCACCUCGGCCCUCAUCCCAGUCACCCGUACCUCCAUCUGCACGCCAUACUUGGCACAUUCCACCCAGCUUGCAGCCCCUCACCCCCCUCUUUUUCCUGCUCCAUUCGCCAAUGGUUCGUCUUACCCCCCUUUUUCGCGCUCUGCCAUUCCUGCCCCCUGCUCUCCCAUUUCCAGAUAGCCAACGAGUACGCCUGCCAGCUGGAGCAGCAGGGGGGGUCGGGGGCGGCGGCAGCCCGCGGCGCUCGGGCUGGUCCGGGGGGACUGCCGGCGGCGGCAACCCGCAGCGCGGAGGAGGACGCGGAGGCGGGGGUGAUGUCGUACGUGAUGCGGCGGUGUGGCGGCAGCCGGGAGCCGCUGCCCAGCUGGUGGCCCGGGGAGCUGAGGGCGCUCAUUGCGGCCUGCUGGGCGGAGGACCCCGCGGAGAGACCCAGCUUCUCGCAGGUGCGUGCGUGCUUGCGUGUGCACGGAUGUAUGUAAGGAUGCAUGGAUGUACGUGCACGCGUCGAAAUUUGUUACGAUGUAAACCGCAAAACCCCCCGAGUGCCCUUUCGGGGCCCCGCUUGCUCCGAGGUGUGGGUCUCCAGACGGACUUCUACUCCACAUUUCCCACCUCACCCCCCGGGCCUCAUCCGCCUCCUUACCCCUUCCCUUCAACUCCCCCCCCCCGGUGUCCUGUGUCCCCGCCCCCCCCCCGCAGAUCCACAGGCAGCUCCGGAAGAUGCAACACAGCGGUGCAGUGGCCGACAUGGACGCCCGGGACCCCCUCAGAGGCAUGGGGUGCGGCUGCAACAUCUCGUGAACCGUGCGCAGACGUGUGAGUACGACAUGACGUGUGCGUGCGUAUGUAUGUUGUGUGACCCGCGGGACCCGUGGGUCGCUUCGUACGGUUGGUGUGCUGGUGAGUGGUAAGGGCGGCGCAGCUUACCUGUAGUGAAGCCCGCGCCGAGAAACUCGUUUUGUUUUUAUCUAUGUACACUUCUUGAUGUACACACACAUACGAACAUACGUUCAUUCGUGCACUCGUAAGCCGUAUCUCGUAUAUCGUAUCUGUACGUGGGUUGAGAGCGAAGGUGUUGGUGGUCGUGGCGGCUGUGGGUGGGUCACUUUUUGUGAUGGGUUGGUGGCCAUGAUGGGUUGCAUAUCGAAAAUUCAAAACCGCCUGUGUUGGUUAUGGCCAUCGUUACUACUAGCAACGUACGGAUCUCGUCCAGUUCGGAUGGCGGGCCGUCGGCAGUUUUGGUAUUCUGUUUUGGAAAUUUUCGGAAGCCGGCGGAAGGUUGUUAUAGUUGCGUUACUAGGCGCAACCGAUUGUACGUAUUGUUGUAAAGUAUUUCAUUGGUUUAAAUGUAUACAUACAUAGGAAUGCGACAUGCUGCAAAUGUCGUGGCUCGAAUAUAGGCAGUACGGAAGUAUACGGAAGCCUGAUGUGUACGGCGGGGCUUGAUGAUGAAUCACCACUGAUCUAUCUUCCUGGAAGCUGUAGCCCUCGCAUCCAUGUGAGUCCGGUCGGGCGGUUGAACGUGCUGUCGGCUGCUGUCUAUCUACGUUGGAAGAAUGCGGGGAAGUAAGAAUGACCGACCAUACACUGAUGAUGUAUUCUCGUUACAGGAAUGCAUCACCAUCACCAAGACUUCGCGAACGUUGAUGGGAAGUUUGGUGUUGCUGCAGGUGUAGGGCGACAGCUUUGCUGAAGUCCCCAAGUAUGUAUGUAGCUUAGGGCCACCUACCUGAUGGCGGUCUGUCUGGCUACACAGUUCGGGACAUGCGCACCGUGCAUAACGUCUGCACCUGUCCGGGCAGUCAGGGCAGGGGUGCGUCUCUAGUUGCAUCACGGCACUUGCUGUCUGGGCCGUGGUGGGGGGCUCGCCUUGCCUCGGUGCCUGCCUUGGUGCGGUCUUCCCUCCGUCAGGGCGUAUGUGGAUUGUUCGAUUUCAUGGGAGAAUGCACACUACUUCCUUCCUUGCCUCCGUAUGUAUGUAUUAAAAUUUUGGUCGUCCGUCGUAAAAGCAAACCACCAAACUUUUACGCCAGGCGUAUUUUUGCAUAUUAGUACGUCCUUUUCCUUGACGAGGCGUGAUACGUUUCGUUUGGCGUAUUCAUCCUUACAGUAAUUCGCGAGUCCCAGUUCUUUUGCGAUCUCAUUUCACCAUUGGUUCCUUGAAUACACGCCGGAUUUACUGGAGGUCCUGGAGUAAGUUUUACUCUACACCCUACUGCGCUUGAUGUUCUACAUGCUGGCAUCAGGGCCACAUGCGUGUUACUGGGUUGCAUGCAUAGCAAUUUAACCCGAAACCUGUAAGGAUAUGGUUAUGAAACAUGGAACGUAUGCACGGCUCACACACCAACACAUGACAGUUACAAUUACAGUUAAAGUUAAAGUGUCCGCGCAGGUGGGGGGGUGUCCGUCAAAGCCGGUGGCCCAUGGACCGUUCAUAAAAAUUAAGAUCACGGUGUCGGUGGGGCGACUGUCGCCAUCCUACCGGCCCCGUUUCAGCGUGAAGCGCCGUUUAGCGUUGCGUGCCUAGUCUUCCAGGCCUUGGAGAGAAUGCCAGCGGGGGAGCCUCGGUCAUAACGGUGCGUGUGUGUGUAUGUGUGUGUGUGUGUGUGUGUGUGUGCUACAUGGUUGCGGGUGCGUGACCCCAUACCUGUAAGACUACCCAUACGAGCCGAAGGCCCAAGGGCAAUACUACAACGCCUAAAAGCCACGGAGGAAAGGAAAAUACCGCACAUCAGCCCAGACUAGCGUCCAAAGGGGGUAAUUGAGUUUCGGUGAACCCACAUACGUUCCAACAUCCUCGCCAGACGUGCUGGUUCCCAUUUCAUGGCCUCCAACAUGCUCUGUUGAUGAUCGAAUCCCUCUUCAGCACGAAUAUCAUUAUAGGCUGGGCAUUCCAAUAACACGUGUUUUUCAUCCUCGAUUCGGCUAUUAGUACCACAACAGCGGCAAAACCGCUGCCCCCUGGGGACAUGGUACUUGCCUCUUCGUGCUCUGUUUGCCUCCAGAGCCCAGCAACAUGAACGAAACUGCAUUAGCUUACGACGUGCUAAACGAGGAAUGAAAACCUUAGCAUGUGUUGGCCACAUGACGGCUGCGGCUNNNNNNNNNNNNNNNNNNNNNNNNNNNNNNNNNNNNNNNNNNNNNNNNNNACUCAACCAGCAGUCAACACGCUCCUUUACCCCACGGCUUCUUGCGGUAUUCCGCUCCAAAUAUUGCACUCCAAGAAGGAAAACAGUCGUAACAUUGAGGUUCCCCAACCCUCUCAUUCCGGGUUGGUCAGGGCAUCGGUUAUCUCCUGCCGUAAAACUGCAUGAGCAAUGGACCCCACUUGCUUUUGAAGCCGGUUCCAGAAACGGAGGAUCUGCUUCACCAUGUAAUAUUGUAAGGGGAGUUCAGCCAGCUCCGCAUACAACAGCCUGUGGGAUGGCCGUGCCGUCCCCACUACCUGCCUCAUGAAUAAAAUCUGCAGCUGGACUGCGCUAUCCUUCAAACAGGCUUCGAACAUGCCCUCCGCAAGGUUGGCUUUAUCCCGCCGCCUUCCCACCCUGUCCACGACCUCUGCCAGCGCAAAAGGGCCCCACGCCUGGCAGCCAUACAACAGAAUUGCUCGGACUUGGGUUGCAAAAAGCAAACGGUGCGCAUCCUGGGCCCUUGAAACACGAGCUCACUCCCAUACUUAGCCCUCAAGCCAUCAUAAAUGGGAUAUAUUCUCCAAGCACACGUAAUCCAUCUUCCACCGCUCCGCAGUCACAAAGCCUGCAGGUACGUGCGACACGCUCGCGGUCGUUGUUCCUGUUGACCUCUAGCUCCCAACAUCCCGACCUAAAGCGCAUGAGGACCUGCUUGGGGAGGGCGGUCCCCGCGUGAAUGAGCCACCCAGGGCACGCGCCCUCCCAGGGCGGUGCCUCCAUCCAUUUGUGGUAAUUGCACGCCUUGACCCCGGUGACCCCGGCGGGCAAACCCCUGAACCGGUGGGUCAUAACAAUAUCAUCCACAGGGCCUACGGUCAAGCCAGUUACGAUGUUACGUUUGGGGUACAGGGGGGCUGAAGCUGCAGCUGAAGACUAAAACUGCUGAGGGUGUGCGUGCUGCAGCCGUGUCUGUCUCAGCAGUGCUCACGGCCAGCCCAGCCACGCCAGUCACCUUGUGUGCCUCGGCUGAGGACUUUUCCCGCCACCAUGCCACCCGUCCCCGACUCGACCUCAUCAUCCUCAUCCGGUGCCGACCGAAUAACCCAAACACUAUAUUGGCCAUUAAAGGCCGUAAGAGGUAUCGGGGUGGACCACGCACCACGACUUGGACCGGGAUACAGUAAGCACGGCCCACAAAGGAAAGGUCACCGAGGGGGAGUUGGCCAACCGUGUGGGCACCGUUAUUAGCCACCAACCACCAAAGCCACCACCUCAGGGCUCUUGAAUGCUCGGCAGGGCACGGGGCGCUCAUGAAUUACCACAAGCCAGACAGCCAACAAGAAGUUUAACCACUGACUUCAAAGCCACUCUAUGUCGGGGGGAUAAAGGCUGUGGCACAUAGGUCGGUGAGGGCUGUAAGGCCCGCUCGUGCCUGUCGAAGCGCUUUUGGCUGCUGCACAUUGUGCAGGACGUCAAGAAGCCGGGGCCAAGACACCAACUGGGUUUGCUGGCUGCAAUAAAAAGAGGACCUAUAACGAGCAGCGCCCAUGUCGUGAAGAGGGCGAGUGAGCGAUAGCUAGGUGUCCGGUAUCUUAUAGGUCUCAUCUUCAGGGCUAGGCUGGUCGGGGUAUGCCGGGCAGAUGCUCUCGAUCCGCAUAUGCAGCAGCCAUAUACUAACAUAUAAUUUCUUUAUCGCGAGCUGUCACAGAGGCCGCUCCAGUUCUAUUGGGCCAAUCUUGUGUUAAGGUUCUGGAACACUGUUGUCAAGAGGCCGGGGACGCUGUGCCACCGGGCCUUCAUUGCCGAUCUCGAGCUGGCUCUGGGGGGUGUUACUGAGUGCUGAUGGGCAAGGACCUGGCUUUCCUUAAGAGUUUGGGAGCUGAGCCCCCAGCCGGUCUGCGUGGUGACGACCUCAUAGCGCAUUACGCCACCGUUAGGUUGCCAGUGGGAAGCAUACUUAAAAGAGUUCGCUAGGCGGCUCGACUCCCGGUGGGAGUGCCCGGAUACCCUAGGCGACCCGCGCACCUUCCCAAGUGGAAGUACCGCCGUUAAGGCAUGUCGCUAUCUGAAUUGGAUGAGGGCGCCCCCACUUAGGCCCACGAGGCAUGAGUGGUUGGCCCACGCUGAAAUCGCCAUGCCCCAAUGUUUGCAUCAAAUGCUUGAUGCGUUUCCGGUUAGGCUGUUGGGAGUUAGAGAUUAACCGACCUAACAGCCGUGAGCGCACAGCGCGCACCUGCAGGCUCUGUGAUUGCGGGGCGGUUGAAGACGAAAUGCAUGUCUUUGUGAAAUGCCCGGCGUACGCAAGUACACGGGCUAAGUACGAACGUGACCUCGCGUUUCAAGGGCGCAACAUGCGCACGAUUAUGACCGAGGCCCUAACCCUGGCGCUAGCCAGGUUCCUCUCGCAAGUCUGGGAGACCCGGCACGUUGCACUAAGGCGCUUCGUGCUCAAGCGGACGAGGGAGGACGAUGAUGGUCCACCACGUAACCGCACUAAAAACGAUUUACCGUCCAUGGCACCCCCGGCUUUUACGGACAACCCCGCACUUGUGCGGAACUUGUAACUUGUAUAAUGCCGCGGCAGGUGUGCGGCUUGGGGCUUCCCAUGCAAUACAUUAUCGCGCGGCUGCGCUUCACAUACGCGGUAUGUAUGCCGGGGCGCUCGCUUGUCUGGCAGCUCCACACUAUGCUCUUGGGGGAUGCUUGCCGCGCUAAAAUUUUAUCGCGUGCAAGAAGUGCAAGGACGCUACUGUAUGCUAACCGGAGAACACAUUGUCAAUUUUAAACCCAUAGUACCCCGCAACACCAUCGUGAACUUUGCAUAUGGCUGUGCAAAGGCUGCGCAUAUCCCUGUUCCCAUGAUUUUGUCAUAAUUACAUCGCUAGCAAAUGGGACCUAUCCCAGCGGUCGAAUAAGCUAGGAAAGUUAGUACAAAGUAACUCCUCUCGCAGCUUACUUGUACAAAGCGAGGCGGUUAUUGCGCACUACCACCAGGAACGGAGCGUCAAAGCGCUCAGUAGUGAGAGCUUCACAAUGCUUACAUGAAGAUGUCAUAGGUCGACCCUUCGCACGGCGGCUGCAACUGGGGCAAACUGGGCCUCUCUGUACGGCACAGUCUCUAGUCAAGACCGUCUCUAAUCCCCGACUUCGUCAGGGCUUUGUUAGGUAGGACGGCAGGAUGGCGCAGGAAUGGGGCCUCUGCCCUUUUUGGAGGCGUUACAUGAGAGAAUCAACGGCUUAGUUGCCAACCCUACACAGCAAAUAGCAGAGCAGGUUAGCCCCGUCCUGACGGUUCUCGCGAUUUGAUCAUGCAUUCCGCGCGCUAACAGUAUACUUUUUUAUUUCCCACAGCUACUAUCAGUUUUCGGAAAUUCCGCAGCCGUCCUACUCCUCCACGCGUCGACGAGCGCCAUCGCUGCAGCCCCCAGCAGUCCUGACACACUCAGAGCCCUCAAGCGGCUCGCAGUCUUAGCUUAUUCUCACAUAGCCGAUUCGCAAGCAUUUGGAACUCUCUUAUUUCAGGCCUUCACGGUCUGCGUUUCCGCGGACACCAAUUUUUUCCUUGACUUGGCCGGGGUCCUGGGGCUGUCGACUCCUGGGGAGCUCGUCAAACUAGGUGUAACAGCGUAUCAUCUCCCAGGGCCGGCUGCUAAACAGCAAGGUGAGCACUCGGAAGACUCGUUAGAUCGGCGCAUAUCUUGGGUUGGUUUAGGCCUGAUGUAAUUGUGCAGGUCCAACAUAUAUUUUAACUGGAUGACGUGAUGAAUUUUAUGGACGCCCUGCGCACUGAUGGCCGCGCUUUUGCCCGCUGACGGAAAAUGUGCGCGCUCACCGGCACCCCCCACAGGCCUUGCAGUUGUUCGGGCGGCACUUAGCAACCCGGAGGCAGCAUUGGUUCGGAUAUCACCAGCGUUGCUUCCAAAAUUUACUGCGUUACUGGCGACUGAACGGUCGCAACUCGGCGAGUUUGUAGCUCUUGCCCAGCAGAUUGCUGAAGGCUCCGCGGCUCGUGGAUCCCCCGUCCACGCAGCUCUGUUAAAUCCACACGCGUCGCUUGUGGAUCCUCUCAUUGAGGAUAGCUCUGUCCAGGCUUCCGACAGCUUGCUGACGAUGGCUUCCGAGGGGACUGGUUCCGCAGCAGUUCAGAACGUUUUGGAGGGUUAUCAUGGCAGCCUUGCCGCCCUUAUGCAAGAGUUCGGUUACGCUGUGUCGGCAGACGAGGCCUGUUUUAAGGCUCUUCUACGACAGGUGCCCGAGCCACCCUCGGAGGAGGUGGUCGCUGAGAUACUGCUGAUGAUGGCUCGAACUCACACCGGACUAAAGGAGUCGGAGCCCGGGCUGCAUUUUUCACUCUGGGUGACGCUGAAUCUGGGAAACCCUCCCCCAAGAUCGGUUACAGUAACCACCUGGAACUGGCCAUUAGUGGUGGAUUGCCUCAAGUCUCACCCGCCAGGGCAACCAAGCAGGCUUAACUGGGCUAAAGUGGCCGAGUGCUUGGAUUGCGAACGUGCCCUGCUACCCGACGCUGCAGCAUUCACCCUAUUGGCAUCAGCGUUUCGCCGUGGUGCCGGGGAACAGUUGCCUGUAGCAGCUUUAACGCGCAUGUGGAAGCACCCUGCCUGUCAGCUGUCUUUCCUGAAGGCGGCAUCGGUGGCGCCGCCUGACGUGUUCAGCUUUGAGAGCUCAAAGCGUCUGGUGACUCUUCUCGAGGGCAUGGACGUGGCAGCGCUUAGUCCGAACCGUGCUUGGGCGUCGGUCGACCUACUUCAGGUGCAUAUCCCUCUGCUCUCGCCGUGGUGGUAUUCGUAGGCUUUUCUAUGUGAAUCUUAAAAGUUCACGUGGACCUUAAUUCUUGGAGGGAUCCGGGUCUUGGAGUGCACUUUACCAGCUGCUGUGAUGAGUUUGCCCCACUUCCUUGCAUGAGACGUAAAAGUUCAACCGUAUGAAUGCUUACGACACGACCCCUCCUGGCUUGGUCCUACGCAGGCACUGUGUAUGCUCAUGGAAAGUGCAGGGCUUGUGGGCCCAGCUCGGGAUGUGCUUCAGUUUCCUGCCGCAACCUGCCCUGACCUCCUGCUGAUCACAAUUGCGGAAACACGUACGGACUGGAACUUGCUUCAGCGAGAUGUCUUUGCGGCCCUUCUGCCGCAGCAUGUCGCCUUGGCAGCAGCAAGCACGGGCGCAGUGAAUGGCAAGCGCAGCCGCGAGCUGCUGACGCGUGUAUGGUCCGCAGCACCACCCACGGUAUUGCUGGACCUUCUUAUUGAACUUUAUGCACAGGACCCAGCACACAUGACGUCCCGAAUCGCGAAAGUCUGCGCGGACCUCGGUGUUCUCCCCCAGGUACGGUUCUUCUAAACGUUACUGACAUGUGGGACAUGCAGGCACAUAAUGACGGGGUGAGGUACAUAGUUGCUUAUUGCUUAUGGGUAUAUGGCGGUUCACCCAUCACGCCAUUUCUCCAUGCAUAUGAUGGCCGCUGUAUGCUUGCACAUAGUUAUGCUUUCUGGUUUUAUGCAGGUCCUGGCGAAUACGCCUAUUGCUUUCGCCCUUGAGCUUGCCGCCUUCGCUGGCGGUGCCGGCAUGAUUAACUUGGAGGCCUGGCUAUCAGAUUACUGCAAUCGGGAUUCCAUGACCGCCAUACCCAGUAUGCUGCGGUACGUCGUGGACAAAACAUCUGAUCCUCCAGGUGGCACGACGGUAGGCGGUGCACCUGGAGUACCGGGUGCCAGUGCGGAUGUCAGGCGUGGCGUGCCGUUAAACGCAGACGCUGCACGUGCCUUCCUAAAAGUCCUGCAGGCCUCAGCGCAGGGGCUUCCCGUGGAAAUGCUCCGAGAACUUCAGGUAUAUUGAGGAGACCCUUUCUGCCUUGAUCUUAGUCGGGAUUGUGAAUGAUUGAUGGGAAUAUUGAAUGCUCUGGUCACAUUUCUGGACUUAACGGUUGGUAUCAAAUGUUGUGUCAUCGUGUUAAUUUUGAUGUACCGCGAUGCCAAGAAUUCCGAGAGGCAAAUGGCUCUGGUACUGAACAUGUCGAACGGUUUUCUUUUUCAGGCGGUCCAAUCCAACCUGGCAAAGCAGUUUCCCUCUCUAACGGCGCACAUCACCACUCUGUCCACCUCGGAUACUUUCGCUAGUGACGUUGAGGAGGAGGCGAACAGCUACUUCCAGGUGGGGCCUAGCACGGGGCGGUUCGGGGUAACCUCCAUGCCUUGCAACAGAUCAGCAGGAAGCCGAAGGCUAAGCGCUGGCUGGUUCUUGCUUGCAGGCGAUCUAUAACGAGGCACGCCCGAUAGAGGAGAUUAUUGUUCGCAUGCAAGCAUACAAAUCCUCGCUCAACCCCCGCGAGCAGGUACGAAUUAGCCAAAACAGACUUUAGGUAACCCGUCUUUAUCUUCGUCGCAGCUGUGCGUACCAGCUUAGAGCAUUGUCGAUGCUGAUGACGUGGAAUUUCUUUCGCUUGCAGGAAGUGUUUGCCUGCAUGAUCCACAACCUCUUCGAUGAGUAUCGGUUCUUUUCGCGCUAUCCGGAUCGAGAGCUGUUUAUUACAGCAACCUUGUUUGGUUCGCUUAUAAAGCACGGUCUUGUCAGCAGCAUCACCCUGGGGAUGGCGUUGCGCUAUGUACUUGACGCUUUGCGCAAGCCAGCACCAUCUAAGAUGUUUACUUUUGGAAUUGAGGUGCGUCGUUAUUCACUUGGUUCGGCUAAACUAGAAAUACCCUGUGCUGAAGUGACAUGGGUAUGUGUCUGAAUGUGAGGCGAUUUAUAUGCGAUUGGGUAAUUGUGAUCGAUUGUCCUUCACCCUUCCUGUUUUCGCAGGCCUUGCGGCAGUUUGUGCACAUGAUCGCUCCGUGGCCGCAGUUCUGCGCAGCUCUAUUAUCCAAUCCCCAAUUACGGGAGGCGGACGCGGAGCUGUACGCGCGCGUGGAGCAAGCCCAGCAAGCUGGCGGUGUCACAGGCAAUGGUACACUCCCUGGCCUGCCCCCGGUCGGAGCAGGUGGUGCACCUCAGGGCGGAUCCGCUUCUGCGGUGGAUCAGCCACGGCAGCAGCAAGUACCGGGCCAGCCACAGCAGCAUAGCCACAUGGGAGCGCUGGAGGCGAACACUCAUGGGUCAUCACGUUUCCUUAAUCUUCAGCCAGCCGAUAAUACUGCACGCGCUGCGGCGGGCCAGGAAGACGAGGCAUCUGUUGCAGCGGCAGGUCCUUCCAUCACGCGGAACGCCAAGGACGCCGUCGCGUCGGCAAGGGCGACUGUGGGUGCAGCGACCGGAGGCGGCGAGCCCUCCAUGUCAAACGCAGCUCCGGCUGGUGGCAAGGGCGGAGCGCGGGAGCUGAAUGCAGGCGGUGGCGGUCUAGCAUCAGUGCCGGCCGCUUCUGGUGGACAGGCGCCACAACCAAGCAACACAAGCCUUUCUGGUAAGCGCGAAGUGAGGUCGCAAUCCGUUGUAAUGCUUUAUAUGUUUGUCUGUUUACAUGAGUAGCAUACUUUUCGUUAAUGGUGCCUGCAGGUGAAGGGGAGGGCGCAGGUAUGUACCUGGCUGCGCAAGUUGCUGCGGCAUCACUGUCAGCACCCAUGGGACCGUCUCUGGCGGCUCUUGUGAACACCGAGAGUCUGGAGAGCGCAGCGGAAAAGUAUCGCGAUUUUAAAGAGCCUCCAGAAGCUGUGGCUGACAAGUAAGCAAUCCAUCCAGGCGCCUUCUUGAGCAUUUGCUGUUUUGGGGAGCUGGGUUUGCUGACGAGCAGGAGCAGGGUUACCAUACCGUAGCCAAGUUGCGAUGCCCAUAUCGGCUGUAGCGAUACACAGGAUGUCCGAAAACAUGAAUUUCCCGUGGCUACUGCAAACAUCUACCGCUCAGGGUUCACUUCGUCAUGAACAACAUAACUAAGGACAACAUGGAGUCGCGGAGCGUAGAAAUUCGCGAUCGUGUCUGGCCUGAUUACCUUGCCUGGUUUGCCAACUACAUGGUAGUGAAGCGAGCGGCUCAGGUGAGGCCCGGUAUUCAGCGCCGUGAAGCCCGCUAGUUUGCAGUUGUGACGACGUGGGGUACGCUGCCGUCGGUGUCGCUCAUGGUAUUUGUCCGGGAAAUGUAUGACAACAACCUGCCUAGUUGGAUUCCAGGUUGCUUGCGGUUGGGGCUUACCCUUGCCUUUCCCUCUUCCAGGAGGCUAACUUCCAUACGUUAUACGUGUCUCUCCUGGAUCACCUGAACGACCGCGAGCUAUAUCGCUUGAUGGUCAAGACCACCAUGUACUACGUUAAGGUAAGCAUGCAUAAUGUAGCCUUCGGUAGUCGCGCUGGAGAUUGUGGUGCGGUGUCGUCUUAAAUAAACGCGAACGGUAGUCCAUAGGAUGCUCUCACCUAUGGGACACACGGUGUUUUGCAGGUGCUGCUGUACUCGGAGCGCAUUUUGAAGGAGUCCAACGAUCGUGCACUGCUGAAGAACCUGGGCACCUGGCUGGGGCUCCUGACGUUUGCACGCAACAAGCCGGUGUUAAGCCGCGAUUUGGAGCUUAAGCAGGUUAUCUGCGAGGCGUACCAGCGGGGCCGCCUCAUUGCUGUUUUGCCGUUCGUGCAGAAGUUGCUGGAGGGCUGCAGGCAUAGCCGCGUCUUCAAGCCCACGAAUCCUAUGGUAGCAGCGAUUUUGUCUCUGCUGGCGGAGUUGCACGCAAUGAAGGUGAUUGGUUUGCAUGGGGUUCCGGGCUCUGCCACUGGCCCCUGCCGGUGUCAGCCCGGAUUCGGGUGUAUUGCAAGGUCACUGAGGAACGGUGCUGGCGGAUGUUGGUCUUGCACUUAUAGGAGGGUCGGCGGUGGCAUCCAGUUUAGUUGCGCUGCACGAUUUACAUGCGCGAUUUGCACACCUAACAAUCAUGAUCGAAUUUGUUUGCGCCAGGGUCUCAAAAUGAACAACGCCUUCUCGAUUGAGCUAAUUUUCAAGGCAUUUGGCCUGAGCCCACAUGAUGUAAAGCCAGCGGAUACCCUUAAGACGCUGCCACGAGAGCGGAUAACGAACCCUGACUGGCAGCUCGAGCAACUGCCAACGGAGAUGCCGCCGCAACCUGUUUCUGACGGACCUACCAGCUCCGCUCCUGCGACCGUUUCAACUUCUGUGGGCAAGCCGAGUGUGCCGUCGUCACCGGCGCCGCCUUCCGCGCCGCCAUCAACGGCGCCUCCGUCGUCACCGGGUCCCAUGUCCGGUACGGGGCUGCGCUCGUCAUCCGGUGUGCAGCUGCCGCCAGGGGCCACGUCGGCCGGUGGUCCUGGUUCGAUCGACACAGUGCCAAAGGUAAUGCCGGCGCCCCCACAAGUCCCAGCUGUCCCAGAGCAGCUACAGCCGCAGCAACCACAGCAGUCGAUGGCUUACGGUAUGCCAGGUGCACCCCCAAUGGCUGGUGCUCCUGCCCCAGGUGCGGCCAUGCCGCCGGGGGUCACCGCGCCCGCUGCAGCAGUGGCAGCCGCGGCUGCAGCUGCACGCGCGCCUGGCAUGGCAGGUGCGCCCGGUCUGCCACCUGACGCGGGACUGUUUGCGAACCUUCACCAGCACGUCAUUAUUAACCCAUCCCUGGGCGACAUCGGCGAGCGUCUGCUGUUGAAGCGGCAUGUACCGGCUGCAGUGGACCGCGCUAUCGGCGAGAUCAUCACUCCGGUGGUUGAGCGCAGCGUCACGAUUGCCUGCUACACCACGUACGAGCUGGUGCUUAAGGACUUCGCGGGUGACGGCGACGAGAACAAGUUGCGCAAGGCGGCACACUUAAUGGUCUCGUCCCUGGCAGGCUCACUGAGUCUGGUGACAGCGAAAGAUCCGCUACGAAUUUCCCUUACCAACCAGCUGCGACAGAUGCUUCAGGUGCGGAGCUAACAUGUCCGAUUUGGAAUUUGGGUUAAAUAGUCCCUUGACAGCAAAACUUGUUGCUGGCGCGAUAUUGUGUGUCAAAUGGAGAAUGCGUGGCCCGCCCUGUUUUCCCUCUCCCCCGCCUGCAGCCGCAAGUGGCUGACGCAGCCAUGCUCGACCAAAUCAUCAGCGUUCUGGUUACGGACAACCUGGACCUGGGUUGUAACCUCAUUGAGCGGGCUGCCACUGAUAAGGCCGUCCGAGACAUUGACAAGAGCCUGCAGGUGGGGUGGAGUUUUACGUGUGGCUGCCAUCGCGCGGCUGUCGCAGUGGCAAGAAAGCCUGUGUGCUCGUUGAUGGAAACAGUGUUUGCGUGUGAAUGGUAGGGGAUGCCUUCCACUAGUGGUUAAGGAUGGACGACACCCUUUCCAUCGACGACUGGCUUUUUACGAAAGAACGGAGAAUGUUCUGUACGUGUUAUUACAUCAUGGCGUUGCCGCACCCCCGUCUGGAACCCAUGGACAUGGCAGGCUGCUUAUGAGGAGCGCGCGAAAGCUCGUGCGGCCGGCAAGCAGUGGGUAGAUGCGGCUGCGUUCCACGGCGCGGGGUCCAGGUUCCCUGGUAGCUUGCCGGAAAGUCUCCGGCCCCGCCCCGGUGGCAUUAAUCUCCAGCACAUCCGUGUAUAUGAGGAUUUCACCCGAAUCCCACGUACUCCGCCAAUCCCUACAUCGCCUGCGCUGGCGGUCGGUUCGAAUCAAGCCCUCGUGGCUCCGGGCCCGGGAGCUCCGCCGCCACCUCCAGGGGUCUCCCCCCGCCCACCGGGUGCAUAUGCAGUAGCCGGGGCUCCUCCUGGUUCGUUCCAGGUGAGAUAGGCUACCGGUUCGAAUCAUGCUGCGGCGCCUCCUAAUAUCUACCCGGGUAUCGGACUUUUAACCUUUGAAGUCCUCCGUUCCUGUUAAAACACUAGCAUAAGCCCUAAGUAGGCUCUAGCAUAGUAAGGAUGUCUUCAAGUGUUUGGAGAAUAGCUUGGUGCCUGUUGCACGUCUUGCAGGGUUUGGACGCCUUGGUUGCAGCUGCGGGUGGUGCAGACAAGCCGCCUGUCGUUUCAGCGUUGGAUGUUCGACCAGAUGUGGCCGCCGCUGCUGCACUACUGGACCGCUACCUCCUCUGGCAACAGGCGGUGGACGCCGCUGUCGCUGGGAAGGACGCUAACCCCACAGCAGACCACUCGGACUUGCAGGUACACUUUCUUCACUACAUGUUUUACGUGGUUCUUGGCCUGACCCCAGGUUCCCACAUGAGGCUGGAGUCAACGUUAACAAAUUGCGGGCGUCAAACCUGCGUUUUAUGUUUGGGCGGUUAUUGCUGCCGCAGGCCCUCUUGGCGGAGCUGAGCGAGGCGCUGACGUCAGGUGCCGCGCCGCCCGAGGAUGCGGCGGUCUUCUUCGCUCGCCGCAUCCUCAAGCACCUGUAUGACUCGGUCGCUGCCGCGUCAGGUUCCAAGCUGUCGGUGUCCUUCCACGGCGCCUGCCUGGAGCUGCUCAACAAUAUGGUGCCUGGUGGGCGCGUCGUUAACGAGUUGACAAUGGCGUACCUGAGCGCUGAUGACGAGCGCAAGUUCAACCCGGCUCUAAUGGAGAUGCUCUUGCGUCUUCGUUUCCUGAACAUGCUGGAGCUCGAUGCCUAUCUAUCGAAGCUGUUGCAGACGCCGGUGUCUCGUACACAGGUGCGGGUGCAUUACCUCGUAAGGAGUGGUGGUUGCUAUUCUAUGCACGGAAGGGCGAACAUAUCGGGAACACUCGUGUCUACGGGGAUGCUGUUUCGUGUGUAGGGGUUGCUGACUGCGACGCAGAGCUCUUAGCCCCUGACUGUAUUGUGGAUCGGCCAUGUUGGUCGCCGACUCCUGGCGUAUAUAUAAUUAUGGAAGCUUGUGGUUAUGGGAGCUUGUGGACUGGACAAAUCCAUCUGUCUGUUGCUAUCUACAGGCGGUGUCGGACCUCGUAUAUUUUCUGCUGCGCGCUAUGACGCUGCGCGAUGGUGGUGUGGUGGUAUUCACGGAUUUGCCGCUCACCAUGGAGCUGCUGGGCAGGAUGGCAGCCGCCAACCCUCCAUUGGCUAGCUUGGUGGAGGCAGCGCGGAAGGUGCGACUCGGCAGACCCCGUGUAAACUGUGUUUGGGAACUGCUCGGGUUGCCAUGGGUAUAACAAGUAGGGGCGUAGGAUGUGCAGUUAGGGGAUGAACCAAAGGGGAGCAUUAUCCCCUAAUAGGUUGUCCCCUUCAGGGUUGCAGGUCAACAAUUUGGCAAGGCCAAGCAUUCCGUUGCUACUGCCUGCGCAGAUAUGUGGCCUCCACUACCAACUAAGCUGGCUUGAGGAUUUCCCAUAUACUUGUAUGCAUACCACUCCCUUGCCGAUACUCCUUUCUUCCUCCCGGUGGCGCUGUUUCUACAGGCCGCUGUUGCCCCGGUCCUCAGCCGUUCACCAGCCGAAAUCCCCGGUGCGGUUCGUGAGAAGGCUGCCGAUCCGCCUGGCCUUCGCGACCAGUCGCUGAAGCUGUUCGAGGACUGGGUCCACCUCCUGAACAUGCAUGCCGAGGAUAAGGUAGGGGUGCCGUGUUGUUUUAUGCAUUGACGGGUGGGAAGGAUGACGCCACCUUGGAAUUAAAGCAAUGCCAGGUGCAUUUCCUAAUUGGCUUGCCAACACCCCUCGGAGCAGGCAUUGCAUGGCUUCCUGAACGGCCAAGUCCGGGCCGCUGGAGUGCUCAAGAUGGAUGACACGACUGAUCGCUUCUUGCGGACGCUUACUGAGCUGGCGGUUGCACACUGCUUGGCGUCGGCAGAGGCCGCAGCAGCGGCAGCGGCUGCUGGUGCCGGUGCUCGUCCAGAGGCCGUGGGCUCGGGUCCGCUCAGUUUUAUUGCCACCGAUGCAUUGGUGUCGCUGGUUGCGGCGCUCGUAGUGCAACUAAACGGCGGCGAGCCCCUCCUCAACAGGCAAGGCAUCCUUGGUCCAUGACCUGUGAAAGAGCAGCAGAUUUGGAUGUGGAGCUGCAUCUUUUGUUCACCAGCAUGCCUCUCAUGUGCAUCCUCAUGUGCUAAGCCGUUUCCGCUUUUCACACCGUGACGCAGAUACCUCAGUCUGCUGGUCGGGCUCAUCAAGCGCGAUGCGGAUGAGGCAACUAUCAAGUUCAAUGCGCGCCCCUACCUGCGAAUCUGGGUUGGCCUAAUGUCCGAGCUGGGCAUGAUGCCGGGCUCCCAUGCUGCUGCGUCGGCAACCGCUGCGACCUCAGCG